rnacentral:lncRNA from 1 species
GCUGCACGUUUGUCUCUCCAAAGAAAAAAGUACUGAUCAGUUCAGGUUGUGACUUCAGAAAGAGCCUGGACAGCUCUGGCUUCUACAGAGGAGAUCUAGCUCUGUAACUCUAAGUCCACAACUUCCUAAGAGAUGGAAGGAAAUCCUGCCCUACAAUCAUAGGAAGAGGAGCACUACAUUCUCAAGCAGGAUGCUGUGAAUGUUUCUCUCAGCCAUUGCUGCAGUAGGCGUUAUCUCUGUGAUUAUUUCUGCUACGACCAGAAGAGGGCAUUCUUUCU